rnacentral:rRNA from 1 species
GAUGAACGCUGGCGGCGUGCCUAAUACAUGCAAGUCGAGCGAACAGACGAGGAGCUUGCUUCUCUGACGUUAGCGGCGGACGGGUGAGUAACACGUGGAUAACCUACCUAUAAGACUGGGAUAACUUCGGGAAACCGUAGCUAAUACCGGAUAAUAUAUUGAACCGCAUGGUUCAAUAGUGAAAGACGGUUUUGCUGUCACUUAUAGAUGGAUCCGCGCCGCAUUAGCUAGUUGGUAAGGUAACGGCUUACCAAGGCGACGAUGCGUAGCCGACCUGAGAGGGUGAUCGGCCACACUGGAACUGAGACACGGUCCAGACUCCUACGGGAGGCAGCAGUAGGGAAUCUUCCGCAAUGGGCGAAAGCCUGACGGAGCAACGCCGCGUGAGUGAUGAAGGUCUUCGGAUCGUAAAACUCUGUUAUUAGGGAAGAACAAAUGUGUAAGUAACUAUGCACGUCUUGACGGUACCUAAUCAGAAAGCCACGGCUAACUACGUG